AGGGGACAGGGAUACUGGAGUGAUGGAGGUAGAUAUGUAUAGGGGGAAGGGGACAGGGAUACUGGAGUGAUGGAGGUAGAUAUGUAUAUGGGUCAGGAGACAGGGAUACUGGAGUGAUGGAGGUAGAUAUGUAUAUGGGUCAGGAGACAGGGAUACUGGAGUGAUGGAGGUAGAUAUGUAUAGGGGACAGGGAUACUGGAGUGAUGGAGGUAGAUAUGUAUAGGGGACAGGGAUACUGGAGUGAUGGAGGUAGAUAUGUAUAGGGGACAGGGAUACUGGAGUGAUGGAGGUUGAUAUGUAUAGGGGACAGGGAUACUGGAGUGAUGGAGGUAGAUGUGUAUAGGGAACAGGGAUACUGGAGUGAUGGAGGUAGAUAUGUAUAGGGGGAAGGGG
rnacentral:lncRNA from 1 species